rnacentral:rRNA from 1 species
AGGGUUUGAUCCUGGCUCAGAUUGAACGCUGGCGGUAUGCUUAACACAUGCAAGUCGAACGGUAACAUAGCUAGCUUGCUAGCUGAUGACGAGUGGCGGACGGGUGAGUAAUGCAUAGGAAUCUGCCUAUUAGUGGGGGACAACCUGUGGAAACGCAGGCUAAUACCGCAUAAGCCCUACGGGGGAAAGCGGGGGAUCUUCGGACCUCGCGCUAAUAGAUGAGCCUAUGUCAGAUUAGCUAGUUGGUGAGGUAAUGGCUCACCAAGGCGACGAUCUGUAGCUGGUCUGAGAGGAUGAUCAGCCACACUGGGACUGAGACACGGCCCAGACUCCUACGGGAGGCAGCAGUGGGGAAUAUUGGACAAUGGGCGAAAGCCUGAUCCAGCAAUACCGCGUGUGUGAAGAAGGCCUGAGGGUUGUAAAGCACUUUCAAUAGUGAGGAAUACCUGGGGGUUAACACUCCCCAGACUGACAUUAGCUAUAGA